GACUAACGCUGGCGGCGUGCCUAACACAUGCAAGUCGAACGAAGCAGCAAUGCUUAGUGGCAGACGGGUGAGUAACGCGUAGAUAAUGUGCCCUCUUGCGGGGGAUACCGCUUCGAAAGGAACGUUAAUACCGCAUAAAGUCCUUAGGAGGCAUCUCCCUAGGACCAAACUUCCGGGGCGGGAGGAGCAAUCUGCGUACUAUCAGCUAGUUGGUGAGGUAAUGGCUCACCAAGGCUACGACGGUUAACUGGUCUGAGAGGAUGAUCAGUCACACUGGAACUGAGACACGGUCCAGACUCCUACGGGAGGCAGCAGUGAGGAAUAUUGCGCAAUGGGCGAAAGCCUGACGCAGCGACGCCGCGUGGAGGAUGAAGGAUUUCGGUCUGUAAACUCCUGUCAGUAGGGAAGAGAAUGGACGGUACCUACUGAGGAAGCUUCGGCUAACUACGUG
rnacentral:rRNA from 1 species